rnacentral:rRNA from 1 species
AUUGAACGCUGGCGGCAGGCCUAACACAUGCAAGUCGAACGAGUGGCGGAGGGGUGAGUAGUGUCUGGAAAACUGCGUGAUGGAGGGGGAAAACUACUGGAAAGGGUAGAUAAUCGCGCAUAACACCAUAUGUGCCGAGAUGGGUUUAGCUUGUUGGUGGGGUAACGGCUCAUCAAGGCGAAGAUCCCUAGCUGGUCUGAGAGGAUGACCAGCCACACUGGAACUGAGACACGGUCCAGACUCCUACGGGAGGCAGCAGUGGGGAAUAUUGCACAAUGGGCGCAAGCCUGAUGCAGCCAUGCCGCGUGUAUGAAGAAGGCCUUCGGGUUGUAAAGUACUUUCAGCGGGGAGGCGUUACCCGCAGAAGAAGCACCGGCUAACUCCGUGCCAGCAGCCGCGGUAAUAC